ACGUGCGUGUGUGUGUGGUUGGCAGUGGGGCAGGCAAGCAGAAAGGCAGGCAGGCAGGGUACAUAUGUCCCGACAGCGAUACCAGGCCAUUGCAACACAUUAACACUUGUUAAUAUCAGCAGGAUGAGCCGUGGUGGCACAGCGACAGGUAGUGAUGUAACGUAGCCCUCAGGGCGCCCAGUAACUGGCAGCAGUGCCUGCUGUGGUGAGAUCGCUUUCCUCUUCGCCUUUCCUAUUAAGAAGAGGAACUCAUGUGCUAGGUUAGUGUAAUGCUAGCUAUGCUAUGCUAAUAAUGAUAAUAACAAUAAUAAUUACACUAAUAGUAAGUAGAGCGAUGUUCAUUUACAGACAGAAAUUACAAAGUGCUUUACAUUGUGAGCAACCAUUAAAAAAAACUUUCAAAAACCGGUAAAAACACAUUAAGCGGUAAUUAAAAGAUAGCUAAUGGCCUAGUAAAAUGCAAGAUACACAAAAUAAUAAAGGCUUGUGUAACGCUAGCUGUGUGCUAUGCUAGGCUGUAUGUAGUGUGGUAAGGCUUGUGUAAUGCUAGCUGUGCUAUGCUAGGCUGUAUGUAGUGUGGUAAGGCUUGUCUAAUGUUAGUUGUGCUAUGGUAGGCUGUAUGUAGUGUGGUAAGGCUUGUGUAAUGCUAGCUGUGCUAUGCCAGGCUUUAUGCGGUGUGGUAAAGCUUGUGUAAUGUUAGCUGUGCUAUGCUAGGCUAUAUGUAGUGUGGUAAGGCUUGUCUAAUGUUAGCUGUGCUAUGCUAGGCUGUAUGUAGUGUGGUAAGGCUUGUCUAAUGUUAGCUGUGCUAUGGUAGGCUGUAUGUAGUGUGGUAAGGCUUGUGUAAUGCUAGCUGUGCUUUGCUACUCUUUAUGUGGUGUGGUAAGGCUUGUGUAAUGUUAGCUGUGCUAUGCUGGGCUUUAUGCGGUGUGGUAAGACUUGUGUAAUGCUAGCUGUGCUAUGCUAGUCUGUGGUCAUGUAUUCCAAUCUGUUUGCUGAUAUGGAAAGCUUCAGUUUUCCAAUGGACGAUGUCAUUUAGCCAGAGGAAGAGACCUUCAACCUAGUUAAUGUUGCUCCUAUUCAAGACUGCCAGAGAUACUGGGCUGAAUGCUUGUAGGCCCAUGUGUCAAGGUGUGUACAUGUCUGUGUGAGAGGGUGAGUGUGUUGCAUAAUCACUUAUGUAUAGCCUAGUACCUGCAUAAUAAACCUGCCAGCCAUAUAUAGUCUCCAUUUCUCAGAUUGUUUCCUUCUACAGAUGUAGGAUCUUCAUUUGAGCCAGUUGCUACAGAAGGAAAAUAAUUAUUAUGUGGAUUAUAAUUAAUGGAGGAAUACAGCUUGUGUAGUACAUUUGACUGCUGUGUGAUAUCAUUUCAAGACUUGAACCUGAAGAUCAGUCAAGGAGUUUUACCACGUACAGUGAGCUCCAAAGGUAUUGGGACAUUUUUUUCUUUGUACUACAAUCUCUAUGAGGUUAAGGUGCAGACUGUCAGCUUUAAUUUGAGGGAACCGUUUAGAAAUGACUGUCACGUUCCUGACCUAUUUCUGUUAGUUUGUUGUAUGUGUUAGUUGGUCAGGACGUGAGUUUGGGUGGGCAUUCUAUGUUUUCUGUUUCUAUGUUGGUUUAAGGGUUGCCUGGUAUGGCUCUUAAUUAGAGGCAGGUGUUUGGCGUUCCUCUAAUUGAGAGUCAUAUUUAGGUAGGUUGUUUCACAGUGUUCGUUGUGGGUGGUUGUCUCCUGUGUCAGUGUUUGUCACACCAUACGGGACUGUUCGGUUUGUUUUUGUACAUCGUCAUUUUGUGUAGUCUAUUUUCCCUGUUCGUGCGUUCUUCGUGUUUUAUGUAAGUUCCAUGUCCAGGUCUGUCUAUUCCGUUUUGUUAUUUUGUUAAUCAUUCAAGUGUAUUUCGUUUCGUGUUUUUUCCGUCUUGUUUAUUAAAAUUAGGUAUUCACAACCCGCUGCGCCUUGGUCGAAUCACUACUCCUCCUCCUCGGAUGAAGAGGAAGAGGAUUGUUACAGAACCACCCACCAAACCCGGAUCAAGCAGCGGGUAAACAGACAGCGCACGAAACAGGAUUUCUGGUCUUGGGAGGAAAUCAUAGAAGGAAAGGGACCAUGGGCUAAAGUUGGAGUAAAUCACCGCCCAUGGGAACAGCUGGAGGAACCAGUGUUAUGAGGGGACGCAUCUAGCACGGAAGCCCGAAAAGCCCGUGAGUACUGCCCAAAAAUUUCUUGGGGGGUGGCUAAGAGGUAGUGGGCCAAGGGCAGGUAGGAGACCUGCGCCCACUUCCCAGGCUAACCGUGGAGAGCGGGAGUACGGGCAGACACCGUGUUACGCAAUAGAGCGCACUGUGUCUCCUGUACGUGUGCAUAGCUCAGUGCGGGUUAUUCCACCUCCCCGUACUGGUAGGGCUAGAUUGGACAUUGAGCCAAAUGUCAUGAAGCCGGCCCUACAUAUCUGGCCACCAGUACGUCUCUUCGGGCCGGCUUACAUGGCACCAGCCUUACGCAUGGUGUCCCCGGUUCGCCUACAUAGCCCGGUGCGGGUUAUUCCACCUCCCCGCACUGGUCGGGCGACGGGGAGCAUUCAGCCAGGUAAGGUUGGGCAGGCUCGGUGCUCAAGGGAGCCAAUACGCCUGCACGGUCAGGUAUUUCCGGCGCUACCUCCCCGCCCCAGCCCAGUACCACCAGUGCCUACACCACGCACCAGGCUUCCAGUGCGUUUCCAGAGCCCUGUUCCUCCUCCACGCACUCUCCCUAUGGUGCGUGUCUCCAGUCCAGUGCCUCCAGUUCCGGCACCUCGCACUAAGCCACCUGUGCGUCUCCAGAGCCCUGUACACACUGUUCCUUCUCCCCGUACUCGUCCUGAUGUGCGUGCACUCAGCCCGGUGCCAACAGUGCCGGUACCACGCACCAGGCAUAUAGUACGUUUUGAGAGUUCAGUGUGCCCUGUCCCUGCUCCCCGCACUAGGCUUGAAGUGCGUGUCUCCAGUCCGGUGCCUCCAGUUCCGGCACCACGCACCAGGCCUACAGUGCGUCUCAGCCGGCCAGAGUCUGCCGUCUGCCCAACGGCGCCUGAACUGUCCGUCUGCCAUGAGCCUACAGAGCCUUCCUCCAGACAGGAUCAGUCUGAGCCAUCCGUCUCCGCAGCACCAUCUGAGCCAUCCGUCUCCCCAGCGCCGUCUGAGCCAUCCGUCUGUCCCGAGCCAUUAGAGCCGCCCGUCUGUCCCGAGCCGUCAGAGCCGUUAGACAGUCAGGAGCCGCUAGAGCCAUUCGUCAGUCGGGAUCUGCCAGAGCCACCAACCAGACAGGAUCUGCCAGAGACGUCAACCAGACAGGAUCUGCCAGAGCCGUCAGCCAGCCAUGAGCGUCCAGAGCCGUCAGCCAGCCAUGAGCGUCCAAAGCCGUCAGCCAGCCAUGAGCAUCCAGAGCCGUCAGCCAGCCAUGAGCAUCCAGAGCCGUCAGCCAGCCAUGAGCGUCCAGAGCCGUCAGCCAGCAAUGAGCGUCCAUAGCCGUCAGCCAGUCAUGAGCUGUCCCUCAGCCCAGAGCGGCUAUUUAUCCAGAACUGCCUUUCAGUCCGGAGUUGCCCCUCUAUCCUGAGCUACUUCUCUAUCCUGAGCUAUCCCUCUGUCCUGAGCUAUCCCUCUGUCCCGGUGCUGCCCCUUGUCUCGAUGUUACCCAAAAGAUUAAGUGGGUGUAAUAUGAGGGUGGUCAUUUGUAGGGGGAGAUGUAAGCUGGGAUUGACUAUGGUGGGGUGGGGACCUCGCCCUGAGCCUAAGCCACCACCGUGGUCAGAUGCCCACCCAGACCCUCCCCUAGACUUUGUGCUGGUGCGCCCGGAGUUCGCACCUUAAGGGGGGGGUUAUGUCACGUUCCUGACCUAUUUCUGUUAGUUUGUUGUAUGUGUUAGUUGGUCAGGACGUGAGUUUGGGUGGGCAUUCUAUGUUUUCUGUUUCUAUGUUGGUUUAAGGGUUGCCUGGUAUGGCUCUUAAUUAGAGGCAGGUGUUUGGCGUUCCUCUAAUUGAGAGUCAUAUUUAGGUAGGUUGUUUCACAGUGUUCGUUGUGGGUGGUUGUCUCCUGUGUCAGGGUUUGUCGCACCAUACGGGACUGUUCGGUUUGUUUUUGUACAUCGUCAUUUUGUGUAGUCUAUUUUCCCUGUUCGUGCGUUCUUCGUGUUUUAUGUAAGUUCCAUGUCCAGGUCUGUCUAUUCCGUUUUGUUAUUUUGUUAAUCAUUCAAGUGUAUUUCGUUUCGUGUUUUUUCCGUCUUGUUUAUUAAAAUUAUGUAUUCACAACCCGCUGCGCCUUGGUCGAAUCACUACUCCUCCUCCUCGGAUGAAGAGGAAGAGGAUUACCGUUACAAUGACAGCACUUUUUGUACAUUGACCCCCAUUUUAUGGGUCCAAAAGAAUUGGGACAAAUUCACCAAUUUGUGUGUUAAAGUAGUAAAAAAUGUAGUAUUUGAUCCCAUAUUCCGAGCACGUUAGCUGUUUGUUUUGGUUGUGUUUAAGAUUAUUUUGUGCCCAAUAGAAAUUAAUAGUAAAUAAUAUAUGAAUUGUGGCUAAUGAUGAGUGAGAAAGUUACAGAUGCAUAAUAUUGAUAUUUCUCACUUAUCAUUAUUCACCGUUCAUUCAGGACUAUCCAUAAUUAGCACUCACGUUAAUGUAGAAGUGUUUAGAAACAUAUUCUAUUCUUAUUUGACUCCAAAAUGGCACAAUACAUUAUUUACCAUUGUCCAAGUGUUUUUUCCUAUAGACUUCCGUUUGUCAUUGCCUUUAACAAGCUAGGUUUCCAUCCAAUUGGGGAUACAUUUUAAUGUGAAUAUUCUAAAUCUGCAUAAAAACACUAUGCUAAUUUUCUCACCAUAGAUGUGUUUCCGUCAAAUUGACUUGUUGUCCAUCACAGGCUGUGCGUGCAUAUAAAAAGUACUUCUACUUUUUUUAACUGAACACAGGUGAUACAAAUAAACACAUAAGGAGGGGGAGGAAAAAGAAUCAGUGGCAGCUAGUAGGCCGGUGACGACGACCGCCGAGCGCCACCCGAACGAGAAGGAGAGCCUGCCUCGGUUGAAGUCGUGACACUAAGAAAGACAAGUUCAGUUGGUUUCCCACUGCAUUUUCAACUCUGCUGAUGGUUUUGUCACUAAACAUGUUGCAUUAUAUAGUGAAUGUGCCCAUUCUGGUCUUGGUACCUGCACUCUAGCCAACAGCUCACAUAUACAGUGAGAUUAUAGCCUACACGAUGGCAUUAUUAUGGACCAAAUAUGAUUUAUUAUUGUCAAAUGGCAGCUAAGCUUUCGGUCAUCAUGUCACCAAAAUUAGACCCUCGAUAUUUACAGUUUUUGCCGAUUGCUUACACACUGAAAGUGAAUGCUUAGACAAAAGCAUCAAAGCCUUAACUUUUGUAACCAUGCCUUUAACAAAGAUACCAAAAGAGCAAACACAUUUUCUGCUUUGCACUUUACUUGCAACACACUUGCAAAACACUACACACUGUUUCUUACAUUAGACACUUCGUUCAAGAAUGAAACCUCUUGCAAUCAUUGGGAAAAUACUUCUAUACAAAAUGCAAAACAUAGCUGAAAUUGGCAACACCCACAUACACAUGAAACACUUCUACAGUCAUAUGACACCAGUUAGUCUGAGCCUCAGCACUACAAGUAGACCUCAGGUAAGAUCACCUCUUUUGUGAGAACUUUGCAAACAUGGAGGCACUGAGAGAGAGGAAGAGGAAGAGAGGGAGGAGGAGGAGGACGAGGACAAGAACAUAGAACGGGACCAGGCAAUAGACAGAGACAUAUUUCCGACAACAUUAGGGCCACUUUGGUGGACCAUGUCAUAAAUCAUGGCCUGACGAUGAGGGAGGCUGGGCAGAGAGUCCAGCCGAACCUAAGUCCAGCCCAACCUGAGUCCAGCCCAACCUGAGUCCAGCCCAACCUGAGUCGCAACACGGAGUCGCAAUACGGACAUUUAGACUGGAGAACAGGUACAGUUGAAGUCGGAAGUUUACAGGCACUUAGGUUGGAGUAAUUAAAACUUGUUUUUCAACCACUCCUAUAGUUUUGGCAUGUCGGUUAGGACAUCUACUUUGUGCAUGACACAAGUAAUUUUUCCAACAAUUGUUUACAGACAGAUUAUUUCAGUUAUAAUUCACUGUAUCACAAUUCCAGUGGGUCAGAAGUUUACAAACACUAAGUCUUUAAACAGCUUGGAAAAUUCCAGAAAAUUAUGUCAUGGCUUUAGAAGCUUUUGAUGGGCUAAUUGACAUCAUUUGAGUCAAUUGGAGGUGUACCUGUGGAUGUAUUUCAAGGCCUACCUUCAAACUCAGAGCCUCUUUGCUUGACAUCAUGGGAAAAUCAAAGGAAAUCAACCACAAGUCCACAAGUCUAGUUCAUCCUUGGGAGAAAUGUACAAACCACGUUCAUCUGUACAAACAAUAGUAUGCAAGUAUAAACACCAUGGGACCACGCAGCCGUCAUACCGCUCAGGAAGGAGACGAGUUCUGUCUCCUAGAGAUGAACGUACUUUGGUGUGAAAAGUGCAAAUCAAUCCCAGAACAACAGUAAAGGCCCUUGUGAAGAUGCUGGAGGAAACAGGUACAAAAGUAUCCAUAUCCACAGUAAAACGAGUCCUAUAUCGACAUAACCUGAAAGGCCCCUCAGCAAGGAAGAAGCCACUGCUCCAACACCGCCAAAAAAAAAAAAAAGCCAGACUACGGUUUGCAACUGCACAUGGGGACAAAGAUUGUACUUUUUGGAGAGAUGUCCUCUGGUCUGAUGAAACAAAAAUAGAACUGUAUGGCCAUAAUGACCAUCAUUAUGUUUGGAGGAAAAAGGGGGAGGCUUGCAAGCCGAAGAACACCAUCCCAACCGUGAAGCACGGGGGCGGCAGCAUCAUGUUGUGGGGGUGCUUUGCUGCAGGAGGGACUGGUGCACUCCACAAAAUAGAUGGCAUCAUGAGGAUGGAAAAUGAUGUGGAUAUAUUGAAGCAACAUCUCAAGACAUCAGUCAGGAAGUUAAAGCUUGGUCGCAAAUAGGUCUUCCAAAUGGACCAUGACCCCAAGCAUACUUCCAAAGUUGUGGCAAAAUGGCUUAAGGACAACAAAGUCAAGGUAUUGGAGUGGCCAUCACAAAGCCCUGACCUCAAUCCCAUAGAACAUUUGUGGGAGGAACUGAAAAAGCGUGGGCGAGCAAGCAGGCCUACAAACCUGACUCAGUUACACCAGCUCUGUCAGGAGGAAUGGGCCAAAAUUCACCCAAGUUAUUGUGGGAAGCUUGUGGAAGGCCACCCGAAACCUUUGACCCAAGUUAAACAAUUUAAAGGCAAUGUUACCAAAUACUAAUUGAGUGUAUGUAAACUUCUGACCCACAGGGAAUGUGAUGAAAGAAAUAAAAGCUGAAAUAAAUAAUUCUCUCUACUAUUAUUCUGACAUUUCACGUUCUUAAAAUAAAGUGGUGAUCCCAACUGGCCUAGGACAGGGAAUUUUUACUAGGAUUAAAUGUCAGGAAUUGGGAAAAACUGAUUUUAAAUGUAUUUGGUUCACGUGUAUGUAAACUUCCGACUUCAACUGUAUGUCUUCAACUUUCUACAUUAGACUAUACCUACGUAAUUGUUGCACAUUCUGCAUCACAGUACAAUACAAUGUAGUCCUACAAUAUUAAGUCUAUGCUCCUCAGUGAACAAAAAAAUAGGUAUAGUGCUGUAUUGAUGUGUACAGGUUGAUAGUACAGUAUGUAAAAAAGAACCGAACCAAUGACAUCAUAUUCUUGCAUUUUCUACAGAACUGCCAGAUUACCUCCUGAGGGUGGAAGGAAAUGUCUGUUCACCAUGAACAGGAACUGGCCAUUAUCAACCUAGUGUUGGCAAACAACACCAUCCGCCUACAUCAACUACGAGAGUGUCACGUUCCUGACCUGUUUUCUGUUGUUUUUGUAUGUGUUUAGUUGGUCAGGGCGUGAGUUGGGGUGGGCAUCUAUGUUAUGUGUUUCUAUGUUGGGUUUAAUGUGUUGCCUGAUAUGGUUCUCAAUUAGAGGCAGGUGUUUGACGUUUCCUCUGAUUGAGAACCAUAUUAAGGUAGGCUGUUCUCACUGUUUGUUUGUGGGUGAUUGUCGCUGUGUCUGUGUUUUGUUGCACCACACGGUACUGUCUCGUUCGUGCAUUCGUUUUUCCUGUUUGUGCGUUCUUCGUUUCAUGAAGUUCUCAUGUUCAGGUCUGUUUAGUUCGUUUUGUUAUUUAGUAAUUUCUAAAGUGUGCUUCGUCAUCGUUAUUCUUUUCUUUAUUAAAUUCAUUAUGUAUUCAUCACCCGCUGCGCCUUGGUUCGCUCAUUCACCACAAGAUGACCGUUACAGAAUCACCCACCAACGAAGGAUCAAGCAGCGGGUUAACGGGCAGCAGCAACAGCGCAAGAAGGAGGUAUGGACAUGGGAGGAAGUUUUGGACGGCAAGGGUUGCUACACAUGGGAGGAGAUCCUGGCUGGAAGAGAUCGCCUCCCAUGGGAACAGCUGGAGGCAGUUAGGAGAGCAGAGGCAACCGGAGAGAGGAACCGGCGUUAUGAGGGUACGCGGCUAGCACGGAAGCCUGUGAGUCAAGCCCAAAAAUUUCUUGGGGGGGGCUACAAGGGUGUGUGGCAAAGUCAGGUAGGAGACCUGCGCCAACUCCCCGAGCUUACCGUGGAGAGCGAGAGUACGGGCAGACACCGUGUUAUGCGGAAGAGUGCACGGUGUCUCCUGUACGUGUGCAUAGCCCGGUGCGGGUUAUUCCACCUCCCCGCACUGGCCGGGCUAGCUUGAGCAUUGAGCCAAGUGCCAUGAAGCCGGCUCUACAUAUCUGGCCUCCAGUAUGUCUCCUUGGGCCGGUGUACAUGACACCAGCCUUACGCAUGGUGUCCCCGGUUCGCCUACACAGCCCAUUGCGGGUUAUUCCACCUCCCCGCACUGGACGGGCUACGGGGAGCAUUCAACCAGGUAAGGUUGGGCAGGCUCGGUGCUCAAGGGAGCCAGUACGCCUGCACGGUCCGGUAUAUCCGGCGCCACCUUCCCGCCCCAGCCCAGUACCACCAGUGCCUACACCACGCACCAGGCUUCCGGUGCGUCUCCAGAGCCCUGUUCCUCCUCCACGCACUCUCCCUAUGGUGCGUGUCUCCAGCCCAGUGCCUCCAGUUCCGGCACCACGCACAAAGCCUCCUGUGCGUCUCCAGAGCCCUGUACGCACUGUUCCUUCUCCCCGCACUCGCCCUGAGGUGCGUGCCCUCAGUCCGGUACCACCAGUUCCGGCACCACGCACCAGGCCUAUAGUGCGCUUUGAGAAACCAGUGUGCCUGUUCCUGCUCCCCGUACUAGCCUUGAGGUGCGUGUCUCCAGUCCGGUACCACCAGUUCCGGCACCACGCACCAGGCCUACUGUGCGCCUCAGCAGGUCAGAGUCGGCCGUCUGCCCAACGCCGCCUGCACUGCUCGUCUGCCCAGCGCUGUCUGAGCUGCCUGCCUGCCCAGCGCCGUUUGAGCCAUCCGUCUGCCCAGCGCCGUUUGAGCCAUCCGUCUGCCCAGCGCCAUCUGAGCCAUCCGUCUGCCCAGCACCAUCUGAGCCAUCCGUCUGCCCAGCGCCAUCUGAGCCAUCCGUCUGCCCAGCGCCAUCUCCAGUCAUGAGCUGCCCUCCAGUCAUGAGCUGCCCUCCAGUCAUGAGCUGCCCUCCAGUCAUGAGCUGCCUCUCUGUCCGGAGCUGCCCUUCAGUCAUGAGCUGCCCUUCAGUCCGGAGCUACCUCUCUGUCCGGAGCUGCCUUUCUGUCCGGAGCUACCCCUCUGUCCUGAGCUACCCCUCUGUCCUGAGCUACCCCUCUGUCCUGAGCUACCCCUCUGUCCUGAGCGACCUCUCUGUCCUGAGCUACCUCUCUGUCCUGAGUUGUCUAUAUUUAGGAGGGGCCUUGGUGAAGGUUCCUGGACCAUGGUCGGGGGCGAGGGUCGCCACUCAAGGGACGCUAAGGAGGGGGACAAAGACAAUGGUGGAGUGGUGUCCUCGUCCUGCGCCGGAGCCGCCACCGUGGACAGAUGCCCACCCAGACCCUCCCCUUGAGUUUUAGGGGUGCGCCCGGAGUUCGCACCUUGAGGGGGGGGGUUCUGUCACGUUCCUGACCUGUUUUCUGUUGUUUUUGUAUGUGUUUAGUUGGUCAGGGCGUGAGUUGGGGUGGGCAUCUAUGUUACGUGUUUCUAUGUUGGGUUUAAUGUGUUGCCUGAUAUGGUUCUCAAUUAGAGGCAGGUGUUUGACGUUUCCUCUGAUUGAGAACCAUAUUAAGGUAGGCUGUUCUCACUGUUUGUUUGUGGGUGAUUGUCGCUGUGUCUGUGUUUUGUUGCACCACACGGUACUGUCUCGUUCGUGCAUUCGUUUUUCCUGUUUGUGCGUUCUUCGUUUCAUGUAGUUCUCAUGUUCAGGUCUGUUUAGUUCGUUUUGUUAUUUAGUCAUUUCUAAAGUGUGCUUCGUCAUCGUUAUUCUUUUCUUUAUUAAAUUCACUAUGUAUUCAUCACCCGCUGCGCCUUGGUCCGCUCAUUCACCACAAGACGACCGUUACAGAGAGCCAAUCAUUGCAGAUCACAUAACAUUCCAUAAUAUCAACCGUGUCAGUAUGUUGACACUCUGCUGCAUCUUGCGUCAACACCAACUUACGAUGAAGCAGCUGUACAGGGUUCUGUUUGAGAGGAACAGCGUUAGAGUCAAAGACCUUCGCUAUGACUACGUGCAAAGAGUCCUGGACUUUGAUGCAGCUGCACAGCCUCAUGAGUUAAUUUUCAUUGAUGAAGCUGGAUUCAAUCUGGCUAAAACCAGGCGUCAGGGCCGACAUGUUAUAGGACAAAGAGCCGUUGUGAAUGUCCUUGGGCAGCACGGGAGAAAUAUCCCCUUGUGUGCCACCAUUAGUCUGCAAGGAGUUCUUCAUCACCAUGCCACCCUGGGUCCCUACAAUACUGCAACACACAAUCAUAUUUCUGGAUGUACAUAAUGCAGCUGUACAGGACGGACCAGAGCAGCCCUGGUUUGUGGUCAUCUGGGAUAAUGUUGGUUUCCACCGGGCUGCUCUGGUCAGGGACUGGUUCACCAACCACAAUAACGUCACAGUUGUAUACUUGCCCCCUUACUCCCCAUUUCUCAAUCCGAUUGAGGAAUUAUUUUCGGCUUGGCGUUGGAAAGUGUAUGACCGCCAACCACAUUCCCGCCUGCCUUUUCUUCAAGCAAUGGAAGAGGCAUGCGGCGACACUGAGGUGGGGUCAGUCCAGAGUUGGAUACGGCAAGGUGAUAUUUUCCCCGUUGCCUAGCCAGGGAUGACAUUGCUUGUCAUGUGGAUGAGGUGAUGUGGCCAGACCCUAACAGAAGGCGAGAUCCAUAAACCAUCCACCCCAUCCCUUACAAUACUAUUUUUUGUCAUUUUAAUGUAAUUAUUUUUGUUUCCAUGAGUUUAGUAACAUAUUGUAUUGAUUACUGUCCUGUAAUUCUACUUUUACUAACAUUUUUGUAGUUGUAAAAACCUGCAAUGGCAAAAAAAUAAGCUGUGUAUAUUUUUUUAUGAAGCCUUUCUAUUUUUCUGUUCAUUGAAAUGUGAGUAGAUGUACCCUACUGGAACAAUCUUUCACAGAAUCCUGUAUGAGAAAAUGAAAAAGGUACUAAAGACAUCAGUGUGUUGUUUCUGCUUUGAAAGAGAAAUUCAAAUGGGGCAUGUGUGUAUCAUUUUGUUGCAAAAAUGCCAUUUUGAAAAAGGAUUGUUAGGUUUUGAUUGCAGAGUAUUUCUUUUUGACAUAGAAGUGACAUGUUUAUCUCCAAGUGUUGUGUCUUAUUUGGCUUGUGUGUUGAGUUUUGACACAAUGAGCCAAAUUUCACAACAAGUGUGUAAGCAAUAGCAAAAAACUGUAUUGGAAAGGAUCAUCCAGCUCAUCACCGUGCACUUUCACCACCCUGUGACGUUCAUCAUCACUUAUUUAAUCUGUAGCCUAAUAAACUGUAUGGUUUCCCGAGUCGUAGUGGGAGGAGCACACAACAUAUCAUCCUGUGACUCCAAGUUUACUUCCACAUGAUGGUUAUUAUAUCAGUAAUUGCGCAUACAAGCGAUUCCACCACCAUUUCUCGCAUAAUGAAUUUUACAGACAAAAAAUGGACGUUUGGCAAGGAAAUCAUUCCAGAUCAACCAUCUGUACACUGCAUUAGCAUUUUGUGUUUUGAUUGAAGUCAUGUUCCAGGCAUUAAAUUGAUGUAAUCAGCAAUCACACAUUAUUAGAAGUCACACACACACACACACACACACACACAC